rnacentral:rRNA from 1 species
CACGAGUGUAUCAAAAAGCGCGUUAACGCCGUUCACCUAAGAGGAAUUGAUCCCGCGUUGCCAUUUAGGUCUAGGUUGGUGGGGUAAAACGCCUUAUCCCAAAGACCGAUGAUUGCAUUAGGCCGAGUUGAAGGAGGAACUGAUUCGGGCCACCAUUGGGGAACUGAAGACCACCGGCCCCAAAACUUCUACGGGAGGCUGGCAGUAAGGGAAUUCUUCCCACAAUGGGCGCAAAGCUGAUGGAGCAACCGCCGCGUGUGUGAUGAAGGGCUUUCGGGGUCGUAAAGCACUGUUGUAUGGGAAGAAAAUGCUAAAAUAGGGAAUGAUUUUAGUUUGACGGUACCAUACCAGAAAGGGACGGCUAAAUACGUGCCAGCAGCCGCGGUAAUACGUAUGUCCCGAGCGUUAUCCGGAUUUAUUGGGCGUAAAGCGAGCGCAGACGGUUUGAUUAAGUCUGAUGUGAAAGCCCGGAGCUCAACUCCGGAAUGGCAUUGGAAACUGGUUAACUUGAGUGUUGUAGAGGUAAGUGGAACUCCAUGUGUAGCGGUGGAAUGCGUAGAUAUAUGGAAGAACACCAGUGGCGAAGGCGGCUUACUGGACAACAACUGACGUUGAGGCUCGAAAGUGUGGGUAGCAAACAGGAUUAGAUACCCUGGUAGUCCACACCGUAAACGAUGAAUACUAGGUGUUAGGAGGUUUCCGCCUCUUAGUGCCGAAGCUAACGCAUUAAGUAUUCCGCCUGGGGAGUACGACCGCAAGGUUGAAACUCAAAGGAAUUGACGGGGACCCGCACAAGCGGUGGAGCAUGUGGUUUAAUUCGAAGCAACGCGAAGAACCUUACCAGGUCUUGACAUCCUUUGAAGCUUUUAGAGAUAGAAGUGUUCUCUUCGGAGACAAAGUGACAGGUGGUGCAUGGUCGUCGUCAGCUCGUGUCGUGAGAUGUUGGGUUAAGUCCCGCAACGAGCGCAACCCUUAUUGUUAGUUGCCAGCAUUCAGUUGGGCACUCUAGCGAGACUGCCGGUGACAAACCGGAGGAAGGCGGGGACGACGUCAGAUCAUCAUGCCCCUUAUGACCUGGGCUACACACGUGCUACAAUGGCGUAUACAACGAGUUGCCAACCUGCGAAGGUGAGCUAAUCUCUUAAAGUACGUCUCAGUUCGGACUGCAGUCCUGCAACUCGACUGCACGAAGUCGGAAUCGCUAGUAAUCGCGGAUCCAGCAGGGAUGAGAUUAAGG